UUGAAACACCAGUUCCCAUUCAAUCACUAAAGUUAAGCAACAUUGAGCCUAGUCAGUAACUUGAUGGGUGACCACUUGGGAAUAACAGGUGCU